AACGGACUCGUAUUGAAACCUAGUGAUAUAUGAGUUAGUGGCGGACGGGUGAGUAACGCGUGGGUAACCUGCCUUACACAGGGGGAUAACACUUAGAAAUAGGUGCUAAAACCGCAUAAGCGCACAGCUUUGCAUGAAGCAGUGUGAAAAACUCCGGUGGUGUAAGAUGGACCCGCGUCUGAUUAGCUUGUUGGCGGGGUAACGGCCCACCAAGGCGACGAUCAGUAGCCGGCCUGAGAGGGCGGACGGCCACAUUGGGACUGAGACACGGCCCAGACUCCUACGGGAGGCAGCAGUGGGGAAUAUUGCACAAUGGGGGAAACCCUGAUACAGCGACGCCGCGUGAGUGAAGAAGUAAUUCGUUACGUAAAGCUCUAUCAGCAGGGAAGAAAUACUGACCUUACGGUCAGCAGACGGUACCUGAGUAAGAAGCCCCGGCUAACUACGUGCCAGCAGCCGCGGUAAUACGUAGGGGGCAAGCGUUAUCCGGAUUUACUGGGUGUAAAGGGAGCGUAGACGGUACGCCAAGUCUGAAGUGAAAUGCCGCAGCUUAACUGCGGAACUGCUUUGGAAACU
rnacentral:rRNA from 1 species